rnacentral:rRNA from 1 species
GUGGGGAAUCUUGCGCAAUGGGCGAAAGCCUGACGCAGCCAUGCCGCGUGGAUGAUGAAGGUCUUAGGAUUGUAAAAUCCUUUCACCGGUGAAGAUAAUGACUGUAGCCGGAGAAGAAGCCCCGGCUAACUUCGUGCCAGCAGCCGCGGUAAUACGAAGGGGGCUAGCGUUGCUCGGAUUUACUGGGCGUAAAGGGCGCGUAGGCGGACAUUUAAGUCAGGGGUGAAAUCCCGGGGCUCAACCUCGGAACUGCCUUUGAUACUGGGUGUCUUGAGUACGGGAGAGGUGAGUGGAACUCCGAGUGUAGAGGUGAAAUUCGUAGAUAUUCGGAAGAACACCAGUGGCGAAGGCGACUCACUGGCCCGUUACUGACGCUGAGGCGCGAAAGCGUGGGGAGCAAACAGGAUUAGAUACCCUAGUAGUCC